rnacentral:rRNA from 1 species
CAGGCUUAACACAUGCAAGUCGAGGGGCAGCAUGGUCUUAGCUUGCUAAGGCCGAUGGCGACCGGCGCACGGGUGAGUAACACGUAUCCAACCUGCCGUCUACUCUUGGACAGCCUUCUGAAAGGAAGAUUAAUACAAGAUGGCAUCAUGAGUCCGCAUGUUCACAUGAUUAAAGGUAUUCCGGUAGACGAUGGGGAUGCGUUCCAUUAGAUAGUAGGCGGGGUAACGGCCCACCUAGUCUUCGAUGGAUAGGGGUUCUGAGAGGAAGGUCCCCCGCAUUGGAACUGAGACACGGUCCAAACUCCUACGGGAGGCAGCAGUGAGGAAUAUUGGUCAAUGGGCGAGAGCCUGAACCAGCCAAGUAGCGUGAAGGAUGACUGCCCUAUGGGUUGUAAACUUCUUUUAUAAAGGAAUAAAGUCGGGUAUGGAUACCCGUUUGCAUGUACUUUAUGAAUAAGGAUCGGCUAACUCCGUGCCAGCAGCCGCGGUAAUACGGAGGAUCCGAGCGUUAUCCGGAUUUAUUGGGUUUAAAGGGAGCGUAGAUGGAUGUUUAAGUCAGUUGUGAAAGUUUGCGGCUCAACCGUAAAAUUGCAGUUGAUACUGGAUAUCUUGAGUGCAGUUGAGGCAGGCGGAAUUCGUGGUGUAGCGGUGAAAUGCUUAGAUAUCACGAAGAACUCCGAUUGCGAAGGCAGCCUGCUAAGCUGCAACUGACAUUGAGGCUCGAAAGUGUGGGUAUCAAACAGGAUUAGAUACCCUGGUAGUCCACACGGUAAACGAUGAAUACUCGCUGUUUGCGAUAUACUGCAAGCGGCCAAGCGAAAGCGUUAAGUAUUCCACCUGGGGAGUACGCCGGCAACGGUGAAACUCAAAGGAAUUGACGGGGGCCCGCACAAGCGGAGGAACAUGUGGUUUAAUUCGAUGAUACGCGAGGAACCUUACCCGGGCUUAAAUUGCAGAUGAAUUACGGUGAAAGCCGUAAGCCGCAAGGCAUCUGUGAAGGUGCUGCAUGGUUGUCGUCAGCUCGUGCCGUGAGGUGUCGGCUUAAGUGCCAUAACGAGCGCAACCCUUGUUGUCAGUUACUAACAGGUUCCGCUGAGGACUCUGACAAGACUGCCAUCGUAAGAUGUGAGGAAGGUGGGGAUGACGUCAAAUCAGCACGGCCCUUACGUCCGGGGCUACACACGUGUUACAAUGGGGGGUACAGAGGGCCGCUACCACGCGAGUGGAUGCCAAUCCCCAAAACCUCUCUCAGUUCGGACUGGAGUCUGCAACCCGACUCCACGAAGCUGGAUUCGCUAGUAAUCGCGCAUCAGCCACGGCGCGGUGAAUACGUUCCCGGGCCUUGUACACACCGCCCGUCAAGCCAUGGGAGCCGGGGGUACCUGAAGUGCGUAACCGCGAGGAGCGCCCUAGGGUAAAACUGGUGACUGGGGC